rnacentral:rRNA from 1 species
AGAGUUUGGAACCUGGCUCAGGAUGAACGCUAGCGGCAGGCCUAAUACAUGCAAGUCGGACGGGAUCCAUCGGAGAGCUUGCUCGAAGAUGGUGAGAGUGGCGCACGGGUGCGUAACGCGUGAGCAACCUACCUCUAUCAGGGGGAUAGCCUCUCGAAAGAGAGAUUAACACCGCAUAACAUCAACAGUUCGCAUGUUCGGUUGAUUAAAUAUUUAUAGGAUAGAGAUGGGCUCGCGUGACAUUAGCUAGUUGGUAGGGUAACGGCUUACCAAGGCGACGAUGUCUAGGGGCUCUGAGAGGAGAAUCCCCCACACUGGUACUGAGACACGGACCAGACUCCUACGGGAGGCAGCAGUAAGGAAUAUUGGUCAAUGGGCGGAAGCCUGAACCAGCCAUGCCGCGUGCAGGAUGACUGCCCUAUGGGUUGUAAACUGCUUUUGUCCAGGAAUAAACCUAAAUACGUGUAUUUAGCUGAAUGUACUGGAAGAAUAAGGAUCGGCUAACUCCGUGCCAGCAGCCGCGGUAAUACGGAGGAUCCGAGCGUUAUCCGGAUUUAUUGGGUUUAAAGGGUGCGUAGGCGGCCUAUUAAGUCAGGGGUGAAAUACGGUGGCUCAACCAUCGCAGUGCCUUUGAUACUGAUGGGCUUGAAUCCAUUUGAAGUGGGCGGAAUAAGACAAGUAGCGGUGAAAUGCAUAGAUAUGUCUUAGAACUCCGAUUGCGAAGGCAGCUCACUAAGCUGGUAUUGACGCUGAUGCACGAAAGCGUGGGGAUCGAACAGGAUUAGAUACCCUGGUAGUCCACGCCCUAAACGAUGAUAACUCGAUGUUGGCGAUAGACAGCCAGCGUCCCAGCGAAAGCGUUAAGUUAUCCACCUGGGGAGUACGCCCGCAAGGGUGAAACUCAAAGGAAUUGACGGGGGCCCGCACAAGCGGAGGAGCAUGUGGUUUAAUUCGAUGAUACGCGAGGAACCUUACCCGGGCUUGAAAGUUAGUGAAGAGUGCAGAGACGCACUCGUCCUUCGGGACACGAAACUAGGUGCUGCAUGGCUGUCGUCAGCUCGUGCCGUGAGGUGUUGGGUUAAGUCCCGCAACGAGCGCAACCCCUAUGUUUAGUUGCCAGCAUUUCAUG